ACCCCUGUAGCGCAAUGGAUAGCGCACCGGUUUCCGGAACCGGAGGUUGCGGGUUCGAACCCCGCCGGGGGUGCC
rnacentral:tRNA from 1 species